UGGCAAUAUGUGGUUUGUUGUCAUGGUGACUGUCAGCUGUGCGGCAGUCCCAGCCAAUCACGGUGGGAGACUAUCUAUAAAGGCGGGCGUAGAGCACCUGUCGGCCUCUUGCUUGCCGUAGGCUGGGUCACGUUGCGCCUGGGCGUCCAUUUCCGCUUCCGUGCGGUGACAGGCUCUUGCUUGCCGGAGGCUGGGUCACGUAGCUCCUGUGCGUCUAUUUCCGCUUCUGUGCAGUGAUAGGGCUCACUUGGAUGUUGCUGCUGGCUGCGCGCUGCUCAUCGAUACAUAGCCGAUGCCGCCUACUGAACUGUCGCUUUUGGAUAGCGUCCCGUUCCCUGCUCCACGCCACGUUGGCCGGGACUGCCCGAUUGGGUGGCCGACAGUAGCGGCGCAGCGGCGGCCAAUCCACCUAUAAAAACCACUGCUGCUUUGCCUCCACGUUAUUACCGCCUUGCCAGGGCCAGCUCGGACCCGAUCGCUUUGCCGUUCAUUCGGCUAGCGAUAGUUUGUUCCUUUUCCUGUUGUGUCGCUAUCUCUUUUGUUUAGUUACAUUCUAAAGUGUGUAUGUUAUGUUAUGUAAGAGUUUUUGCUGAUUUCUCCUUGUGUUUACUUAUUAUAGAUUUUGUUUAUUUAAUUAAUUUCUCUUAUUAUUAUUUUGUUUCCAUUAUGUUUUCUAACUGGUUGCUCUGCGAUCCCCCUCAAUUCAGGUGCUGAGCCUACGGUGGUGGACUGGUGUCCUGGUCACGGUGUCCCUUUUGUAUUGUGUUUGCAUUUGGUUUAUUUUUCAUUUGUUUUACGUGUGGUGUUCCUGGGACCCCCUUUCCUUUGGAUGCAGGUGUUCACAGUAGGUCUCAGCACUGAUUGGAUCUCAGCACCCAAUUUCCCUCCUUAGUGAGUAAUUCUCUAGUUUUAAGAACAGACAUUUUGUAUAAAUAAAUGUAUUUUUGUAUGAUCGAA